rnacentral:rRNA from 1 species
AGUGAACGCUGGCGGUAGGCCUAACACAUGCAAGUCGAACGGCAGCACAGUAAGAGCUUGCUCUUACGGGUGGCGAGUGGCGGACGGGUGAGGAAUACAUCGGAAUCUACUUUUUCGUGGGGGAUAACGUAGGGAAACUUACGCUAAUACCGCAUACGACCUACGGGUGAAAGCAGGGGAUCUUCGGACCUUGCGCGAUUGAAUGAGCCGAUGUCGGAUUAGCUAGUUGGCGGGGUAAAGGCCCACCAAGGCGACGAUCCGUAGCUGGUCUGAGAGGAUGAUCAGCCACACUGGAACUGAGACGCGGUCCAGACUCCUACGGGAGGCAGCAGUGGGGAAUAUUGGACAAUGGGCGCAAGCCUGAUCCAGCCAUACCGCGUGGGUGAAGAAGGCCUUCGGGUUGUAAAGCCCUUUUGUUGGGAAAGAAAAGCAGCAGGUUAAUACCCCGCUGUUCUGACGGUACCCAAAGAAUAAGCACCGGCUAACUUCGUGC